AUUGAACGCUGGCGGCAGGCCUAACACAUGCAAGUCGAGCGGAUGAAGGGAGCUUGCUCCUGGAUUCAGCGGCGGACGGGUGAGUAAUGCCUAGGAAUCUGCCUGGUAGUGGGGGAUAACGUCCGGAAACGGGCGCUAAUACCGCAUACGUCCUGAAGGAGAAAGUGGGGGAUCUUCGGACCUCACGCUAUCAGAUGAGCCUAGGUCGGAUUAGCUAGUUGGUGGGGUAAAGGCCUACCAAGGCGACGAUCCGUAACUGGUCUGAGAGGAUGAUCAGUCACACUGGAACUGGGACACGGUCCAGACUCCUACGGGAGGCAGCAGUGGGGAAUAUUGGACAAUGGGCGAAAGCCUGAUCAGCCAUGCCGCGUGUGUGAAGAAGGUCUUCGGAUUGUAAAGCACUUUAAGUUGGGAGGAAGGGCAGUAAGUUAAUACCUUGCUGCUUUGACGUUACCAACAGAAUAAGCACCGGCUAACUUCGUG
rnacentral:rRNA from 1 species